GCAGUAGCNAUACUGAGUGGCAGACGGGUGAGUAACAUGUGGGAAUCUGCCUUGUGGUUCAGGACAACAUUGGGAAACCGAUGCUAAUACUGGAUAAGCCCUUACGGGGAAAGUUUUAAUGCCAUAAGAUGAGCCCGCAUUUGAUUAGUUAGUUGGUGAGGUAAUGGCUCACCAAGACAAUGAUCAAUAGCUGAUCUGAGAGGAUGAUCAGCCACACUGGGACUGAGACACGGCCCAGACUCCUACGGGAGGCAGCAGUGGGGAAUCUUGCACAAUGGAGGAAACUCUGAUGCAGCGAUGCCGCGUGAGUGAAGAAGGCCUUUGGGUUGUAAAGCUCUUUUGUAGGGGAAGAUAAUGACUGUACCCUAAGAAUAAGGUCCGGCUAACUUCGUGCCAGCAGCCGCGGUAAUACGAAGGGACCUAGCGUAGUUCGGAAUUACUGGGCGUAAAGCGCGCGUAGGCCGUUGAGUUAGUUAAUUGUGAAAUCCCAAAGCUUAACUUUGGAACUGCAAUUAAAACUGCUCGACUAGAGUUUGAUAGAGGAAAGCGGAAUACAUAGUGUAGAGGUGAAAUUCGUAGAUAUUAUGUAGAACACCAGUUGCGAAGGCGGCUUUCUGGAUCAACACUGACGCUGAGGCGCGAAAGUAUGGGUAGCAAAGAGGAUUAGAUACCCUCGUAGUCCAUACCAUAAACGAUGAUUGCUAGAUGUUGGAAAUUUAUUUUCAGUAUCGCAGCUAACGCAUUAAGCAAUCCGCCUGGGGAGUACGACCGCAAGGUUAAAACUCAAAUGAAUUGACGGGGACCCGCACAAGCGGUGGAGCAUGUGGNUUUAAUUCGAAGAUACGCGCAGAANCCUUACCNACCCUUGACAUGUCUGUCNCGAGUU
rnacentral:rRNA from 1 species